AUAGUUUUAUAAUUCUUCCGUGAAUGCUCUCCGCGGAAUAAGGCACAAUCCUAAGGCAGCAACGUAGUAAGGAGAUUUGGAAUUGUAACUUAUUGCAAUUAGCAAGACGGUAUAUUUCGGAUCGAGGAAGACAAGGGAGGCUCGAGAGCAGCAAAUGGUGAAAACAAGCAAUGUGUUUACCGACAAACAGUGCAAAUAUCAACAAAUGAGGCAAAUGGGUUGAUCGAAGAGGCGGUUUCUGGGAAGGUCUGGCUCGCUGACAGAGUGAAUGUAAGUAAUCAAAAAUACUCUUAAUAAGCCCAUUGCAAUUUGGCGAUUCUUAUGCUACAAGGCCUCUUUGUUUGCACUGGCACACAAUCUCUAAUUUUGUUUCUGUUUUUGACAUGCAACAUUGCUACGUACGCAGCGUAUAUUACUCAUUCACAAAUAAUGUUACUUUUUUUGUUGUUGAUAUUAUUCUUUCAUCAUUAAUAUCACUCUCUUAUUACUGACACUUGCUCCUUAUGAAUUUGUAUUCCAAUCGGUGUCCAUCUUCGUACGGUUUUUUGGUUUCCGUCUCAUUUGAUCGCCAUGAUGGAUCAUUAUGAUUCAUCAUCGCUCUCGUUAUGGCCAACAUAACAUAACUGCGCAGUAUUAUAAAUUAUUCCCGUAAGUUUCCCGCUUUAGAAAACAAAGAAUCAUGGUAACAAAGAACGUAUGGAACACUGAAACCUUCAUCUUAUAAAUGUCGUCGAAUUUUCUCAUCAUCUUUAAUUUCCACUUAAACAGCUACAUCAGAUUUUUUUACCUACCCUUUUUUGCCCUACCUUACCUUACUUACUGACUCUGGAUAGGUAUCAUCGAAUUCUAUCAUAGACCGAGCAAAAACAAACAAAACGGGCAAAAGAAAAAGAAGAAAAAGAAGGACAUUGUAAAGAUCAAACUUUACAAUAUUAUUAAACUUAUACAGUACAGAACAGUGUACAUGCUCAAACACUCUUAGUCCAUUCAUUUACCUAUGUAUUUGUAUGCAACGGUAUUAUUAAAAAAAUCUGUAAAGAUUAGUGAAUUUCAUUCUGCUUCAUUAAUGUAAGCUACGCAGUUUGGUAUCUGAUUUAAGGAUACGUAGAACUGCGGUGAGUUUUCCUUGUGAUCUAUUAUAUUACAAUACACAGGUUGUAUAAGUAGCAACUGAGUAUAGGUAUUGUAUUAACUGGGUUAUAAUGUUACCU